rnacentral:other from 1 species
AGCUCCCUGCUCUUUUCGUGAUAGGACAUGAAGUCUUGAGCUAACACCCAUUGAUUGGGUGUCUGAUGCUUGUGUCGAUGUACCCAAUUUGGGUUUACAGCAAAUACUGGCGAUGACACCCUCUUGUCUAUAGGGUUCAAAGACUCUUGCUUACACGAUCUGUGGCGGGGAUUUU